ensembl:lncRNA
CCAGGACUUCUGCUGAAACUUUUGAUUUAUUUAGCGUUGACAUAAAAAUUCCUAGGUAUAUUUACUAACCGAUCACAUACGGGUUAAUAAUACUUUUUCUGAAAUUGCAAUGUUAAAAGGAUUUUGAAAAAUACCCUGCGAGCACAUACAGCGCCUCCAGUACCAUGCCCUCUCUUGGUGAAGUGUUCCGAUAGGGCGCUGGGCCGAACAGCACUAUGAAUACCCAGAAGGCCGGGGGCCCCGGGGGCCCCACACCAAGCUCCCCAUCACCCCGCCAACGGAUGUCUCACUUCAGCCUGCGUGGCCGGAAGAAGAAGGAGGGCCUGAUCCGAGGCAAGCUCCGUAUCCGCUCCAUGCCGGGGGCUUUCCUCGUGCUGGGCGUUGUCGUGGUGGUAGUGGGCACUGGCCUUGGCGGUGGCGGGGUAACUGGCCUUACCGGACCCACCGGUCCCCCCAGCUGCUCGGGAGCUGGACAGAAGAGCUCCAGCUCUUCGGACAGGGCCGGAGGGUGUCGGAGGCGGCGGGGUCCCCGAGUCCCAGUCGUCCAGCUUUGAGCCAGGGGCUAAAGGCCUCCCGGCCAGGGCCAGUCCUGGUCCACAGCGAGCGCAUGAAGCUCCUCGGCCCGGUCAUCAUGGGCGUGGGCCUGUUCAUUCUGAUCUGUGCCAACACGGUGCUGUACGAGAACCGCGACCGCGAGACCAAGAUGCUCCUGGCCCAGAUGCGCAGCGUCCUCUGCUCCGUGUCGGCGGCCGUGCCCUCGGCCGACCUUUCGGACAUGGCGGCGGUCAACUCCAUGUCCCGACAAUACCAGUGGGUGAGCAGCCUGCCGGCGGCACACCUCAACAUCAUCUGCCUCCAGCAGCUGGCGAACUCAGAGCCCCUGCUGCGAACCUGCGGGGGUCGCCGGGAGACGGAGGAGGGGGCGGAGUAUCCAUACCAGCGGGACACCUUGUGGACGGAGGCCCUGCACCACCAGGGCUCGACCGCCACGCCCGUCCUCCACUCCGGCUCUUGCAACUCCAGCAGCACAGACUUCAGCCGCGGGGCGCGAUGACUGCGAGCCGGGGGUGGGGAGACUCCCGUCCGGACACCCGGCCCGCUCACCUCUUUAGGCUCGACAACUGCCCGGUGUCCACCGGCUCGGUGUCCGCCCUCGGUGGGGAGAACCGGGAGGCGUCGGUGAUUACAGUUCCCCUGCCGAGGCGCUCCCACAGUCUGAGCUACAGGACUAACCCCCACCCCCACGGCCGUCACGGCCCCCGCUCCGGAGCGGGUCUGGCCGAAUCGGACCCGCGACCCGGAGGACCCGGGCCCACGGGGAGGGAGCCCAGCUCUGAUGUGUGUGUCAACAUGGCCGGCUUAGGAGGCGGUUGCGUGGAGCUCCUGGGCCUCGGACCUCUGAGGAGGAGCAGAGGCACUGCAGCUGGCCCCGGCUCGACCCGGGCUGUGGCCGCAGGUAUCUGAAGCUGGACAACAAGGAGGACUCGGUGGACCGGCUGCUGGGUCAGUUGGAGCACCAGUGCUCACAGAGUUUCGGCUCAGGGCCUUUCCAGUGAAAAGCACAGGUGGCCCCGCCUCAGCUUGGAGUGACGGGUCUUGGUGGGAUGCUAGCGUGUGUGUCGAUUACUCGGAGUGUGAGUUUCUCCCCCCCCCCCCCCUCUUUGGAUCACACUGUUUUCAUUGACUCCGGAAACCUGUGAGGGAGGGGGAGUGAAGUGUUUUCGUUAAAUCCUCGUAUUAUGCAAAACUCUACUGGGAUUUAUGCUACAGCGUUGAGCACCUUCCAACCUAAAGAAACCUGAUCCAAACCUUUAAAAACCCUGUUUAUGUUUAUUCCCGUUGGAUAUAUAUAAACUAUUAAUAAAACGUUUUGGGAGGACGGCUGCGGAUAAUUUGGAUCAGUUUGGGCCGGAAUAUUUUUUGUUGCUGGCGGUGGAAGAGAACAAUCCACAACGCCAUUCUGUGAGAGCUGGGGUGGAGCAGGGUGGAGCUGGGGUGGAGCAGUGUGGAGCAGGGUGGAGCAGGGUGGCAGCCCGUUCAUUUGGUGUGAUGGAGUUUCAUCUUGGCACUCGGCAGCAAUGUGGAGGAAUCAGUUUGUCUUUCGUUGCCAAAGCAUUUGCUUGUUUCCAGGACACAGCAAGCACAUCCGAAUGUGGGAGGUAGCACAAACACAUCCGAAUGUGGGAGGUAGCACAAACACAUCCGAAUGUGGGACUGUCUACACUGUGCAAUAUAUUUUUGAAAACCAAACGACAUGGUGAGCCCAACGAGGCUACUGACGGCUUCUAAUAAAGUGCAGCUAUUUCAGUGAAACACCCCAGAGACCAAAACAAGUGCAUGUUGAAAAAGAUGUGCACUCAGAUUUUAACGUUAUGCAGAAUAAUGGUUACAUAGCCUGUGUUUAACAAAAAGAGAGGUUGUCAACACUUCGUUUGAAGGGUACUGUACAAUAAUAAGGACUUGCUAAAAUGUUAAUAUUUGUUGAUUUAUUUGGAGCCCUAUUGGUUUUCGCUGAAGCAACAGGCACUUUUUCUGCAGGUCCACAAACAGUAUGCAAGCAUUAAUGAAGUCUAAAUGUAGUGCUAAUGUGUUAUGUAUGGCUUAUGAAUGCAUAUUGAAGACCUUAUGUAGGUACCCUUGAAAUACUGUGUUGUCUGCUGGCCUUCCUUCUCCUGGUUAUUAGCCAUGUCGUGUCCCAGAAGCCCCCUGACACUUUAUAGUGUUUAACCUUUGACCCAUUAUGAUAAUGCCCUAAAGCUGAGCUGCCCAAACCUGUUCAUGGAGAACUACCAUCUGGUAGGUUUUAACUCCAACCUUGUAUGGUUUUAUCUCCAAUCUGGUUCUUGGAGAUAUGCCUUCCAGUAGGUUUUAACUCCAACCCCAGUUGGAACUCAACUGAUUUAUCUUUUCAUCCAGCUAAUUAUUAAAAUCAGUUGGGCUGGAUUUGGGUUGGUGAGUAGUGUAGGUCUCCAGGAACAGGUUUGGAGUUAAAACCUACAGGAGGGUAGAUCUCCAGGAACAGUGUUGGAGUUAAAACCUACAGGAGGGUAGAUCUCCAGGAACAAUGUUGGAUUUAAAACCUACAGGAGGGUAGAUCUUUAUAAAGGAUAUUAUUUGGAACACAGGUCAGGGGAAUCUGGAAGAGGGAAUCAGCAGUGAGAUAACCUCUUCCUCUCCUCUACCGCCCAGUUGUUCAGCUCUUACUUCUUCCUUCCCAGAAUGCAUCUUGUCUAAGUCCUACAUGGCACUCUAAUAUCCUAUGUAGUGUACUUGUUUUCAUCAUGGCCUAUAUGGUUGAAGUCAAAAGCAGUGCACUUCAUUGGGAAUAGGUUUACAUUUGGGGCUUUCGUUUCUUUCCAGCCACUCCACGUUUCCUCUCUCCAAUGAAGGUGAGGGAAUGGAGGACAUGGAUAAGUCCGUAUCGACUGCGUCUCUGUUUCUAGGGAUGUGAAUUCAUUUUGUGGAAAUGAAAUGUGUCUUUCUGUAUGCAACUGGGGGUACAUGAUUCAGCUUGUCUGGUUCCCUUGCGGACACCCCAACCCCCCCACGCCCCCCAC